GUGCUCGCUGAGGCAGCUCAUAUCCUAAAAAAAUUGGAACGAUAUAGAGAAGAUUAGCAUGGCCCCUGUGCAAGGAUGACACACAAAUUCGGGAAGCGUUUCAUUUUUUU
ensembl:snRNA U6 U6 spliceosomal RNA